rnacentral:tRNA from 1 species
GGGGAUUUAGCUCAGCGGCAUAAGCAUUUGCCUUGCAAGCAGGCUGUAGUGAGUUCAAUCCCCG